rnacentral:rRNA from 1 species
GUGGAUUAGAUACCCUGGUAGUCCACGCUGUAAACGUUGCGAACUAGGUGUCGGGGGUAUUCACCCCUCCGGUGCCGAAGCUAACGUCUUAAGUUCGCCGCCUGGGAAGUACGGCCGCAAGGCUAAAACUCAAAGGAAUUGACGGGGGCCCGCACAAGCGGUGGAGCAUGUGGUUCAAUUCGAUGCAACGCGAAGAACCUUACCUGGGCUUGACAUCCGGAGAAUCCCUCAGAAAUGAGGGAGUGCCCGUAAGGGAACUCGGAGACAGGUGCUGCACGGUCGUCGACAGCU